AAUUAACCCUCCAUAGGAUCACACGAAGGCAUCUGAGAGUGAUUAAACCAAAAGGGGUUGUGGAUGAGCAUGCGGUUGAUUAGCUAGUUGGUAAGGUAACGGCUUACCAAGGCGAUGAUCAAUAGGGGAACUGAGAGGUUUAUCCCCCACACUGGCACUGAGAUACGGGCCAGACUCCUACGGGAGGCAGCAGUAGGGAAUAUUGGACAAUGGGCGAGAGCCUGAUCCAGCCAUGCCGCGUGCAGGAAGAAGGCCUUCUGGGUUGUAAACUGCUUUUGCCAGGGGAUAAAAGACCCGUGCGCGGGGAAUUGAAGGUACCUGGUGAAUAAGCCACGGCUAACUACGUGCCAGCAGCCGCGGUAAUACGUAGGUGGCAAGCGUUGUCCGGAUUUAUUGGGUUUAAAGGGUGCGUAGGCGGCCCUGUAAGUCAGUGGUGAAAUACGGCAGCUCAACUGUCGAGGUGCCAUUGAUACUGCAGGGCUUGAGUACAGACGAGGUAGGCGGAAUUGACGGUGUAGCGGUGAAAUGCUUAGAUAUCGUCAAGAACACCGAUAGCGAAGGCAGCUUACUAGACUGUAACUGACG
rnacentral:rRNA from 1 species